rnacentral:rRNA from 1 species
GAGUUUGAUCAUGGCUCAGAUUGAACGCUGGCGGUAUGCUUAACACAUGCAAGUCGAACGGUAACAGCAAGAGCUUGCUCUUGGCUGACGAGUGGCGGACGGGUGAGUAACGCGUAGGAAUUUACCUAUUGGCGGGGGGGAUAGCCCAGAGAAAUUUGGAUUAAUACCGCAUAAGCCCUACGGGGGAAAGCGGGGGACCACUUGUGGCCUCGCACCGAUAGAUGAGCCUGCGUUAGAUUAGCUAGUUGGUGAGGUAAUGGCUCACCAAGGCGACGAUCUAUAGCUGGUCUGAGAGGAUGAUCAGCCACACUGGAACUGAGACACGGUCCAGACUCCUACGGGAGGCAGCAGUGGGGAAUAUUGGACAAUGGGCGCAAGCCUGAUCCAGCCAUGCCGCGUGUGUGAUGAAGGCCCUAGGGUCGUAAAGCACUUUCGCCAGAGAUGAUAAUGACAGUAUCUGGUAAAGAAACCCCGGCUAACUCCGUGCCAGCAGCCGCGGUAAUACGGAGGGGGUUAGCGUUGUUCGGAAUUACUGGGCGUAAAGCGUACGUAGGCGGAUCGGAAAGUAUAGGGUGAAAUCCCAGGGCUCAACCCUGGAACUGCCUUAUAAACUCCCGGUCUUGAGUUCGAGAGAGGUGAGUGGAAUUCCUAGUGUAGAGGUGAAAUUCGUAGAUAUUAGGAGGAACACCAGUGGCGAAGGCGACUUUCUGGACAGAUACUGACGCUGAGAUGCGAAGGCGUGGGGAGCGAACAGGAUUAGAUACCCUGGUAGUCCACGCCGUAAACGAUCAUCACUCGCUGUUGGCGAUAUACUGUCAGCGGCCAAGCGAAAGUAUUAAGUGAUGCACCUGGGGAGUACGCCGGCAACGUUGAAACUCAAAGGAAUUGACGGGGGCCCGCACAAGCGGUGGAGCAUGUGGUUUAAUUCGAUGAUACGCGAGGAACCUUACCAGGGCUUAAAUGUAGUAUGACCGGUCUAGAAAUAGGCCUUCCCUUUCGGACAGAAUUCAAGGUGCUGCAUGGCUGUCGUCAGCUCGUGCUGUGAGGUGUCGGGUUAAGUCCCAUAACGAGCGCAACCCUUAUCUUUAGUUGCCAGCGAGUAAUGUCGGGGACUUUAAAGAGACUGCCUGUGCAAACAGGAGGAAGGUGGGGAUGACGUCAAGUCAUCACGGCCCUUACGUCCAGGGCUACACACGUGCUACAAUGGUGAGUACAGAUUGUUGCUGCUUGGUGACAAGUUUGCUAAUCAAUAAAACUCAUCUCAGUUCGGAUUGAAGUCUGAAACUCGACUUCAUGAAGUUGGAAUCGCUAGUAAUCGCGCAUCAGCCAUGGCGCGGUGAAUACGUUCCCGGGCCUUGUACACACCGCCCGUCAAGCCAUGGAAGUUGGGAGUACCUAAAGUCGGAUACCAUUAAGGAUUCGCCUAGGGUAAAACUAAUAACUAGGGCUAAGUCGUAACAAGGUAACC